UGGGGAAUCUUGCACAAUGGAGGAAACUCUGAUGCAGCGACGCCGCGUGAGUGAUGAAGCCCUUCGGGGUGUAAAGCUCUUUCGACCCGGAAGAUUAUGACGGUACGGAUGAAGAAGCUGCGGCUAACUACGUGCCAGCAGCCGCGGUAAUACGUAGGCAGCGAGCGUUGUUCGGAGUUACUGGGCGUAAAGCGUGCGUAGGCGGUGUUCCAAGUCUGUUGUGAAAUCUCCCGGCUUAACCGGGAGGGUGCGGCGGAAACUGGAAUGCUGGAGUGCCGGAGAGGUAAGCGGAAUUCCUGGUGUAGCGGUGAAAUGCGUAGAUAUCAGGAGGAACACCUGCGGUGUAGACGGCUUACUGGACGGUAACUGACGCUGAGGCACGAAAGCGUGGGUAGCAAACAGGAUUAGAUACCC
rnacentral:rRNA from 1 species